rnacentral:lncRNA from 1 species
GGUCACCAUCUCCUCCUCCUUUGCCUUCCGAGAAGUUGAAAAUGCAUCCCAUCGCUCUUGCCACCCAGCUAAUUUACCAUGAGCAUCCAUUAAUUGUUGCUUGACUCGCCUCAACUCAGAACUGGAUGAUCCCAAGGCCUUGUCUGUCUUCCUGAAGAAGUCCACCUCCACAGCUAAUUUUCCUUCUGCUUCCUCUUGCAAUCUGACGGCUUCCCCCUUCUGAUAUUCUGCCUCAUGGAAUUGAUGCAUAUAGUCUUGCAAUUUCACACUUAACUCCGAGUUUUCAAUUUGAAGCUCCUCCAUGGCUUUCUUCAAUUUGUCAUACUCCUCUCGGCUCACUACUGUUGACUGCGCAGGAGU